rnacentral:rRNA from 1 species
AGUGAACGCUGGCGGUAGGCCUAACACAUGCAAGUCGAACGGCAGCACAGUAAGAGCUUGCUCUUACGGGUGGCGAGUGGCGGACGGGUGAGGAAUACAUCGGAAUCUACUUUUUCGUGGGGGAUAACGUAGGGAAACUUACGCUAAUACCGCAUACGACCUACGGGUGAAAGCAGGGGAUCUUCGGACCUUGCGCGAUUGAAUGAGCCGAUGUCGGAUUAGCUAGUUGGCUGGGUAAAGGCCCACCAAGGCGACGAUCCGUAGCUGGUCUGAGAGGAUGAUCAGCCACACUGGAACUGAGACACGGUCCAGACUCCUACGGGAGGCAGCAGUGGGGAAUAUUGGACAAUGGGCGCAAGCCUGAUCCAGCCAUACCGCGUGGGUGAAGAAGGCCUUCGGGUUGUAAAGCCCUUUUGUUGGGAAAGAAAAGCAGCAGGUUAAUACCCCGCUGUUCUGACGGUACCCAAAGAAUAAGCACCGGCUAACUUCGUG